rnacentral:lncRNA from 1 species
AAUAAAAUAAAAACUAAAAACAUAUGAUAUGGGUGCAGUGGCACACGCCCGAAAUCCCAGCAGCUCUGGAGGCUGAGACAGGAGGAUCAUGAGUUCAAAGCCAGCCUCAGCAAAAAGCAAGGCUCUAAGCAACUCAAUGAGACCCUGUCUCUAAAUAAAAUACAAGAUAGGAUUGGGAAUGUGGCUCAGUGGUCAAGUGCUCCUGAGUUAAAUCCCCGGUAUCCCCAGAAAAUAAAAAUAAAUGUAUUCUGGGCAUGGUGGUGCAUGCCUGUAAUUCCAACAACUCAGGAGGCAGGACGAUUUCAAAUUUGAGGCCAGCCUCAGCAACUUAGUGAGGACCUAAGCAAUUUAAUGAGGCUCUAUCUCAAAAUGAAAAAUACAAAUGGCUGGGGAUGUGACUCAGUGGUUAGGUGCCCUGGGUUCAAUCCCCAGAACCAAACCAACCAAACAAACAAACAAAAAAAUGUGAAGCUGGGUUCAGUAGCACAUACCUAUAAUCCAAGCACUUGAGAUACUGAGACAGAAGGAUCCCUUGAGCUCAGAAGUUUGAACCAGACCCCCAUCUCAAAAUAAAUAAAUACAUAAAUAAAGUAAAAUAAAAACAAACGUGGACAUUUAAAGUAAAGCAAAAUACUUCUUUAAAAAAUUGAUAUUAGCAAAUGAUUUAGGAGUAACUUCCUUUUUUUCCUCCUCCAGUUAUUGGAUUUCUCUGGAAACAAUGCUAAUACUUUAUUAAACACUUGUCUCAGACUGUUCCCUACAAAGUUUCUAGUUUUAAUUUGGGAAAAGAACAUUCUGUGGUAGAUAAUGAGAGAAAAUUCAAAAGCAUAAAAUAGUAAGAUAUACUUUAUAGGAAAACUUACAUUCAUGUUGUAGAGUUUUAUAUUAAUUCUAGAAGUCCAAAUUCUCAGAAGUCCAAAUCUCAAGCAAAUAUUAAAAUAACUGGGCAUGGUGACAUUUGCCUAUAACCCCAGUGACUCAGGAGGCUGAGACAAAAGGAUUUCGAGUUCAAGGGCAACCUCACCAAUUUAGCAAGAUACUGUGUCAAAAUAAAAUAAAAGGGGCUGGGGAUGUACCUAAAUGGUAAAGAACACCUCAAUACUGCAGAGAAAUAAAAACAAAAACAAAUGUAUUAAUAUAAAUUUAAAACAGUGCUAAGAGUGGAGGGGACAUCAGCAGCUCAUACAUUAACAUGAAUUUCUAGAAGACAGAAAAUAAAUGGUAUCAUACUGAGAAAGAAACUAGAGCAGUAGAACCUUUGCAUAGAACCUACCCAGGAGGGGCUUGGGAUGUGGCUCAAUGCUAGUAGAGUUCUUGCCUAGCACGUAUCAGGCCUGGGUUCAUCCCUAGCAUUGCCAAAAAACAGAACAACAACAACAACAAACAAACAAAACCAAAUAGAACCUACCCAGGAGAAGGCUAAGGGAGGUGAGAGGCUCCAAAUAGAAGGCACUGGAUUUGCAGAGAGGAGUGGGAAGUGGGAGAGAAAAUGAGAUGAUUAAUUAAAGGACAAUCUCGUAACCACUCCAUGGCCAUCCCUGUGUAUAGAGUCAAUAUUUCUUCCCUGAACAAAAAAAAAAAAACCCAAGGAUCAUGAAUACAUAUAUAAAGUGGCCAAGCACAUGGCACAGGUAAGGGAAGUAGAUGGGAGGUUGCAGGUAAAAAGAGACCACCUGCCUGACUCUAGGGGUAGCUUUGCUCAGUCCGUCUGUUUCUAUUCCCUGAACUUCUAGGAAAAGCUAUAAACCUGGAUUUUUAGUUAAAAGUGACCAAAUUGUUGACAAUUUCUUGAAUAUAUAUGUAAAUCUCUGUCCACAAAAGGUACAUGGGGCCCAUGGACCACCAGAUAGAGGUUUCUUCUAAACAAAAUUGAAUAAGCUACCCUGGAAGUUUCCAGAAGUGAGUCUGUGUGUGUGUGUGUGUGUGUGUGUGUGCACAUGCAUACAUAUGCACAUGCAUGCAUGCAUGCACACUGGUGGGAUUGAACCCAGGAGGAAAUAUUUUUAGACACCUCUAGGGAUGUAGAGCAAAAUGAUAAAGAAAUGGGAAAAAAGAGUUAAGCGAUGGAAGAUCAAUUCAUUCAAUGUAUAACAUAAUUUCCAGAAAGAGAGUACAGGGGAAAUGGAGCAAAAGAAAUAAUCAAAGACUCUAUUUGAUGGAGAAAAAGGUGGCUCUCACCUUGGCUGCUUGUUGGAAUCACCUGAGGAGCUUUUCAACCACUGCUGGAGGACUCCCACUUCUGGCAAGAUGGAGGAACAGGGCCCCCACGGGAAACAACCGCCAUCACCAUUACAAAGACAUAACAAAGACAGACAAAAUACAGGAAGACAACAGUGUUACAAACUGUGCAUCAGACAAUGACAAACAAUAACGAAGGCAAUGAAAUCCCAGAGAGAAAGGAAACAUGCAAGGUUUGCCCUUCUAAGAUUGGCCAGCUUACUCUCUCAAAAGAGUUCCCAGUGGCAGAGCAAGGAGGGAGAAGUGAGGUGGAGCCCAGAGGACUUUCUGAGCUGAGGAAAUGGAGCUGAGGGUCCGAGAGACCACAGCAGCUGGAGCUGGAGAUGAAUAGUGGGGAAGAGAGAGUUGCAGAGAGACCCAGAGACCUUCAGAGGGUUCCCUCAAGUACUCAGCAGAGAAUUAAUCAGCACAUGUGUGUGAGGAAACUACCCAAGGCCAGGGAAAGAACCAUCUGAAAGGAUUAGAGGGAACAGUGCCCAGGACUCACACAAGGCCAGGGCCAGGGCAUUUUCCCACCAGCCAGGCUGCUAACGUUCAGAAUUCACACAGCACUGGGGAGGGAAUAAUUAACCCCAGACUGAACACUGCUCUGGGCCUGCCUAACAAGUCCUAAAGAUUAUGCCAAUAUCUGGUGCUCUACAAAGUUAGAUUUACAAUAUUUGGAAAUCAAAGUAUUAUUAGGCAAAAGAAACAAUGCAGAGACAACAUACAGGUUGGGAAAAACUAUUUACAAACAACACAUCUGAUGAAGUGUUAAUAUCCAAAAUAUAUAAGAAUCUCAAGGGCUGGGGUUGUGGCUCAGUGGCUGAGUGCUUGCUUAGCAUGAGUAAGGCACUGAGUCCAAUUCUCAGCAUCACAUAUAAAUAAAUGAAUAAGACAACUAUUAUAUAUAUAUAUAUAUAUAUAUAUAUAUAUAUAUAUAUAUAUAUAUAUAUAUAAUUUUUAAAAAUCUCAAAAAACUCAAAAACAAAUAUCCUGAUUUUAAAAUGGGCAAAAGACCUGAAUAGACGUUUCUCCAAAAGAAGAUAUACAAAUGGCCAUCAGAUAAUGCCAGACAUGGUGGUGUGUACUUGUAAUCCCAGCAACUCAGAAGGCUGAGGCAGGAGGAUUGCAGGUUUGAGACCAGACUGGGAAAUUUAGCAAGACCCUGUUUCAAAAUAAAACAUAAAGAUGACUGAGGGUGCAGCUCUGUGGUAAAGCACCCCUCGUUUGUCAGGUAAUAAUUAGCAGUGAGCAAUGAAAUGCAUGCCAAGGCCACAAGUGUUCUUUAAAUUGCUAUAGGGUUUUUCUUUAAACACUUUCAAGAUGGACAAGAAAGCAAAAGAUGGUCAUUAAUUUGUAGAAAAUAAAUGAAAACAAAGGAGUUAACUUGGAAAAUAUGUCAAGAGAAAAGAACUAAUGUGACUAAAUCUUGACAAGGUCCAUUGAGGUUGGUAUGAAACUCGGGAUUGUGGCUGUAAGUGUUUCUAUUGUCUGGGAAGGAGGAUUCCUUCAGUGGUGACACGCUAGGAUAACCUCUGACCAGCUACUGGCCCCAGUGUCCACAUUAACAGGAUUGACUUGUAGAUGAAGCCCCCCUAAAUAGGAUGGCCACAAUGACAGUUCUGGAGAGGACCAAUUAAGGUCAAAAACUCCAUCAUCUGACGUGAAGGAGGAGGAGUUGGGCACCUGAUUGGUGAAGGUUGCUGGAAGAGGACCCCAGUUCUCCUGGUAAACUUCAAACAGUAAUAAAUUUGGAGGCAGCAUUGUAACCCUUGUCAUUCUCUGCUGAGAGAUGUCCUCUCUCUCUCUCUCUCUCUCUCUCUCUCUCUCUCUCUCUCUCUCUCUCUCAGAGUGCUCUCCGCUUGAGCCUCACUUUGCUUUCACUUUACUUUCAUCUCAAUUUCACUUAUAAUAAAGUUCUCUUUAUGGA